GUCGGGUGUUACAAAGAAAUGUUUGCCAGCGAAGAGCGUAUUUCGUACGCUUGAAUGCAGCACGGUAUCUAGAUGGAAUUUUAGAUUCUCAUCGACAGAACAUAAUUCACAUGACAAACGGCUUGAAUUAGUUUACAAGUGCGACUUUCGCGUGUCAUAACCAAGAAGGUGGCUUCCUCUGGAUUUUCCACAACAAUACCACCAAGUGAACUGCAAUAUUUAAAAAAUAAGUUUUAAUAACUUUUUUUAAUUAUAAAUCCGAAAAGUUAUUUUGAAACAAAAUAAUAUUAGAUGGAAUAAUAUUGAUUAAUAAAUAAUUUUAAAAAUA